ensembl:lncRNA
UGGUUUUUGAGUUUCGACACAUUUCCUUGAACAGCUUUUUGAAGCUGUUUUGCAGACCUUUGAAGAGGCAAAGGGGUUUUUUCUUGUUGCUGUUGCUGGUUUAUUUGGUUUAUCUUGUUUGCACUUGGCUCUCUGUAACCUUCUCAAGAAUUUUACAAGUCCCUGCUAUGUCUAGGUAGACCAGGGAGUGGGGAGGGGGCAUCACCCUGGGCUGAAGAACUGAGCUCUGCCUACCAUCUCCACAGGAGAUGCCUCCUUCCCUCCUCCCUGGGGUCCGCUGAGGUGGAGCAGGCAGGCCUGCCUUCCUGUGGGCAAUGGGAGAAUUUGCCUUUUGUCCUAUCCUUGUGCUGACAGUCAACUGUAGGUGUGUCUAUUGGGUGCCUUCUCUGCUCACUGUGCUUUUCUUGGGUCAUACGCACAGCCUGAAGAUUUCUAUGGGAAGACCCAUAGGCCAUAGUGCUUAUCACUGCCCUGGGCAACUGGAAGCAAUUGGGUCUGCAGAGCCAAGUCACUCACCCAGUUUCCCUUGCCUGGGACGUAGCUUUUCAACAUCCAGGACUGUGGUCACUCCUUUGGGAGAGGGGGGUGCAGCAUCUGCCAAGGCCAUCAUAGCAAUGUCUGGGCCAAUCAAUCACAGAUCAGAUCACCAACACAAACCUGUGCCCCUCCCCCCCCCCGCCACUAACCUUCACAUCGACUCUGUUGAUGUGAUGACAGGGACCACCCCAUUAUAUGUAAUGGGAAAGUUAAGGUGUGGAGAGUGAAGUCACAUCCCGCCUUGUCCAGGUAUGGGCCACCAGCAGAGAGUCCCUGCUGGUGAUCAAGUCUCUGAAUUUAGAUGUCUCUCCCACAAUCCCCCGGCCAAACAUUAAUCAUAGGCCAGAUGGCCCCUUUUGAUUGGGCUCUGCUCUCUGGCUCCUGACUACUUUGUGUCUUUCUGAGAGUAAUUAUAGUACCCUGGCCUCUGGAAACUUAGGCUUGAUGACAUCCACUUGCUAGAUCAAGACUUUGCUUAUAUUUUUCUGGCCAGAGCCACUCUUGGCCGUUUAUGCUUAUACCAUGCCGGCAAGCUGAGGAGGGGAGAUCUGUGCUCCAGCUACUUCAUGUCCUGCCUGGAAAUGGCGAGAGUCAUACCAGGUGCUCUCGGUCAUUUUCAAGCCUCUGCCACCAGACUGCCCCAUGGAGUUGAUUUCCACGGCACAGUUCCUGACCUUAAACUGUUUCUGAAUCCACUGGGGACUUGGGUAGUGGGUGGAAAGUGAGGACACACACUCCUCAGUAAAGAACAGGUGCCAAAUCUGUGCAAGAACUUAGGACAGUCUAGUGCUCGUCACCAAAUCCCUGCCGUUAGCGAGAGGAAGAAGCCGCCCCUACCGUCUAAGAGCCAGCUGGAGGUGCAGUGCAGCCAGAACGCACUGGCCGCAUGUGUGGGGCCCCAGGCUCCAUCCCAGCAUCCCAGAUAAACAAGCACCUUAAUGGCUUAGCUCCUGUCCUCCCACUGAGCCCAGGGCUCUAAAGUGUCCACACAGACUGUACCCCGGGGAGGCCUUGCCAUCUCUGAACAGUGUGGCAAUCUCGCCCCCUUCACCGGCUGUCUAAACUUUCCUUCAGGGUUUUUCUGUAUAUACCGACAGACAGCCAUACCCUACCACAGGCCAAAAAUUCCCUGAAGUCAGAGGGGCAUGGACUGAAUGGGUAGGAAAUUAAUUUUUAUCAAGGCCCCAGGAUCUGCCUUUGCCUGGAAGGACUGUUCCUAACUUGCUAAGGUUCUAGCGGCAGGAUUGACCUGACCCCAAAUACAGCUGUACAGUUAAGACAAUGGUUCACACUCCUCACCUGCUCAUGGGCCACUUGCUGAGCGGCCGCCCUCACAGACCACAUCUCCCUGCUCUGGGGAGUGAUGCCUGGUCCCCGGUGCUAUCUAGUCGAGGUACCGAGCCCCUCAUAUGUGAGUGUCCCAUCUUCUUCCCUAUCUCCGCACUCCUCCCCCAAGUAAACCCCCUUAGCUCCCGCCAGAAUGAGGGCUUAGCUUUUGUCCUUCAAAAGACCAGACCCGGUGUCAUCAUCGCCAGUGGCCUUCACCCUCACUUCUAUGCUUUUAAGAGCAAAGGUGCCCCACCAGGCUUACUACAGCAAUAAGCAAUUCUAAUGCAAUGGAGGUGCCCAUACUAUGCCUGCAAUGCCUUUAUGCCCUGUAAUUAUGAGCAGCGCCUCUCUUACAUACCAGGGAGUGUGAUAAACUGUGGCCACCUUAGCCAUACAUGGCUCCCGUUUCAGGGCCACCGAGGAGCUAGGUUGCUUCUAACCCCUCCAGAAACAGUGGGCUCUAGGCAGCGCGUGGUCCAUUGUAUUUGUGUGCCCACGGCUGGUGCUGGGGACCCCUGGGUUCUCAGUUCUUCUCACACCCCCUAGGUCAACUGACAGGUCCUGAUGGUGGCUUUUAUUUCCUGUGAGUGUUUAAUGUGAGGGGGCAGGGAGUAAACACCUAGCCGUAGCAUGUAGAGACUAUAUACCAUUAGACUUUUCUUUUUUUAAAAAUAAUAAACAUGCUUGACUGGUUUCAAGCUUCGUUGUAAAGAUGGAGCGUUUGUGGGUUUGUUUGUUUUUUGGGGCUUUUUUAAAGGAUUUUAUGUAUGUGAAUACACUAUCAUUAUCUUCAGACACACCACAAGGGGGCAUCAGAUCUCAUUGCAGAUGGUUGUAAGCCACCAUGUGGUUGCUGGGAUUUGAACUCAGGACCUCUGGAAGAGCAGUCGGUGGUCUUAACCACUGAGCCAUCUCUCCAGCCCUUGUGGGUUUUAUCUGACUGAAAGAGAUGCACGCCCCGGUGUCUGGACUUGAGCUCUUUGCAUCUGAAGAAGAGAAACAAACGGAAGCUGUUCAGGAUUGUCCAGAAGACUCUUCCCUGGGCCUUGGUAAAAGACUGAGAGUCUUUUAUAUAUGCUGGAGGGGGUGGGUAAACCCACAAGGGAAAGCCACCUCGUAUUUGGGGAGUGUCUCAAUUCUUCCUAAAGAGUAGAAAUGUCACAUGUCCAGGGAGCCGUGCUUCUACUGGCACUGUCUUCUGGUGAACAAAAGUGCAGGAAAGUAGAGAAAGGAGGCAGCCAUAGUUGGACUACUGGACUGCCCAGGUUCUCUGUUCACAGGAGAGAUUUAUUAAUUUCUCAAAGGCAGAACCAAGGUGGUCUUGGGAGGAAACCCAAGGUCAUUUGCCACCCUCUGGCCUAGUAUUUAUGGACCUCCCAUUUUAUCAUUUUUCAUAACACUGUACCAAAGUGUGUUCGUGGAAUACCUACCUCACAACGUGAUAUGAAGAGGGGUUCUGUGGUCAAAUCUCUUUGGUUAUCCUUGCAUGCGGAGCCUUCCAUGUCCCCUGGGCACACAAAAGCUCUAGCAAUGGAAGAUGAAGAUGCAUCGAAUGCUUGGUGAAAUUUAACCCGUUGUUUCCAAAGCGUAUCUGGUGAGAGUCGCUGUUGGCGAGACAUUUUAGAAUGCCAAACAGCGCAUAGUCUGCUGCAGAGCCUAAGUGUUAACCAUUUACAGUGUCACGGUAGCCUGUCGCCCCCUUACUCCUGUCUGAAGCCUUUGACCUUCAUGUUCGUGUCCUACCCAGCAAAGCGACCUGGACGGGUGGGAGGGAAGAGCAGAUUCACUGACUCUUCUCAGAACCCUCUGAAGGCUCACCUGGAGAGCUCUGACCAAGUCCCUCAGAGAAGGCUCUAGAGGCCUGAAAGCCCUUACCUUGGAAGUUUGUAGUGACCUAAUGAUCCUGGAGAGCUGGGGGCUGGGCUGCGCUCAGGCUGCUGCGAGCAUGGACUUCCUGGAUCCCCAUCCCCUGCGUUUACUGUGGCACAUUACACUUAAAAGUUACCAUCGUGGCUGCUUCCGCUGUAGCUCCGUGGCAUUAUGCACACUGUUACCCAGCCAUUACCAUCUGCCCACAAAGCUUUUCCAUGCAACUGAAAUCCCAAAACAUGGCUCUCCGUUCUUCCCUCCCCACACUCCCAGCCCCCACUCUACCUUCUGCUUUGCACACCGACUCUAGGUACUUCACAUAGCUGGGGUCAUACCGUUGUCCUUUUCUGACUGGCUUACUUCACUUAACAGUGCCCUCGUGGUCUAUCUACUUGUAGAACAUACCAGAAUCCCUUUAUGCAUCAGCUUGUACUUCCUGUAGCCAUUCAUCAGUGAGCGGCUUCCAUCUUUUGGCCAUUGUGACUAACGCUGCUGUGGACGGAGAGAACCAGUUCCACAGUUGUCCUCUGACAUUCACAAGGGCACUGUGGCACACACGCAUAAAGGCACACACAACAACAACGAUAGCGGUUACGUUUUUAAAAGAGACAAAUGCCUGUUGAAGUCUUCGCUCUUGUAGAGUCAUUGGGUCGCAUGGUGAUCCCAUGUGUGUAUGUGGAUUAUACUGCUGGGUGCAAUGUGCAGAGGCCAGAAGAUGACACCAGGCAUCUUCCUCUACCCUCCCCAUCUUCUGUGAUGAGACAGCGCCUCUCAUUAAUACUGGAACUCACCCACUUGGCUAAGUCUGGAGCCACUGAGCCCUCGGGAUCUGCCUCUUUCCAUCCCACAGUGCUGGGGUUACGUGCACUAAAGGCCAUGCGCGAUGUCUGUGCAGAGCCUGGGAGUUUGAACUCAGGACCUCUUGCUUUCACAGCAGGCAUUUCUUCGCACUCAGCUACAACCCCCACCCCUAUGUUGAAGCAUUUGAAGGACCACCAUAAUCUUUCCACAGCUCCCCGUUGUUAGUUUCCGACCACAUUCUUGAAUGAAAAUGGUUGGUCAAACUUGAGCUUGUACCCACCUCGAGAUAGCAGAGUUCUUAUACACCCCUGGUAUUUAGAUUUACACUAUUCUAAUUAUGGUGCCAAUACAUAAUAUGUGUAUAAGCAAAGCAGGUGGAAAUGUCCUCCUUGUGCUGUAAUAAAAAUCAAAGAUGAGCACCUUGGAGCUGGAGUUAUGACCCAGCAGCUAAGAACACUGGCUGCUCCUCCAGAGAACUUGAGUUUGAUUCCCAGCAUCCAGAUGGCCAUGAAGAAUCUCUGUGACUCCAGUUUAAGGGGAUCCAAUGUCAUCUUCUGACCUCUUAAGACACCAGGCAUACACACGGUGCCUUGACACAUAUGUAGACACGAUACCCAUACACAUGAAUAAAGUACUUUUUAAAAAUAUGACCGCCUUCAGAAGCCACUCACAGCUUCCAAGAUUGUACCUAAGCAACACUAACAACAUCAGUGUUACACCAUCUCCAACAUGUGUGUAUUGUAACCAUGUGCAUGUAUUUACAUAUGUGUGUGCAUACAUUAUGCCCACCCAGCCUUGCUGCAGUUACCUCUCUGCACACUGACAGAUGGAGCCUUAGUGGGGCAGGUGUUUGGAGCCUUCCUAGAUACGCUGUACCAUGAGACUCACCUUACUCUAAUGGUGAUACAGGAGAAGCUUUGGUCAGGCAGAAUCCAUUUCACCCUCAUUAGGCACAAAUAGAUCACUUUGGUAUGAAGUCACACUUGCAGUCUCCUCAGCCUGGGAAGUUGGAAGUGCCAGAAUGAACAGACUCCCCAGCUGGGAACUUUUUGAGGAACCCCCUCCUUUCUGGGGUUCCCUUUCUACAGGGCGGAGGAAAGAACAAAAGCUUGUGCAAGCUCCAGGUGAUGCAGAAAUUCCAUGGAAGAUUCACUUUGGACUAGAACUGGCACCCCAGUGACACGUGGCAACAGUGUGGCAGGACAGACAGACACAAGGCUCCUGUAGUUUCCUUCUCACCCCUAAAUAAACAGUCUGAAAUAGAAUGGUCAGUAGGAAGUUGGGCAAUUUAAUCAAUAAGUUACUUCAUAUAUCUCCAUAUGAAAACAAAAAAGAGUGUGCCGUGCAACAAAUAUAAAGUGACCUAAAUUUUUUUCACCCCACCCCCUUGACCUAAAUUUUAAGAUAAAACUUCAGAGAUAAGGACUUCAGAGAAAUAAUUGGCUUUGGUGGGCUGCUUCAGGGCAAGCACCAGCACCAGGCUCAGAAGGGAAAGGGAGACAGGAAAGAGGGCCGAGCAUUCUGUCACUAGGGCAGACAUGCUCUCUGGGUAUGUGCAACUGGCUAGGUGCACUGUCAGCUCACACUAGAGUUCACCUAACAUGCUCAGGAAGCAAAGGGCCCUCACAAGGUCCUGGCUUUCCUGGUCUGCAAAGGAAUGGUGUCUUAGUCAGGGUUUUACCACUGUGAACAGACACCAUGACCAAGGUGAGUCUUAUAAGGACAACAUUUAGCUGGGGCUGGCUUACAUGUUCAGAGGUUCAGUCUGUCAUCAUCCAGGCAGGCAUGGAGCAGGAGGAGCUGCUAGUAGAAGACUGACUCUUCCACACUGGGCAGAGCUUCAAAGCCCACCCCCACAAUGACACACUUCCUCCAACAAGGCUACACUCACUCCAAUAAGGCCACACCUCCGAAGAGUGCAACUUCCUGGGCCAAGUAUAUUCAAACCACCACAAAGGGUUUGUUUAUGAAAGUAAAUUCUUCCCAGAAUUGGAGCUUUUCAAAACUUUUUCAGCUAAGGGCUGAGGAGAUGACUCAGA